rnacentral:rRNA from 1 species
CCUACGGGUGACAGCAGUGGGGGAUAUUGCACAAUGGGGGAAACCCUGAUGCAGCGACGCCGCGUGAGUGAAGAAGUAUUUCUGUGUGUAAAGCUCUAUCAGCAGGGGAGAAAAUGACAGUACCUGACCAAGAAGCCCCAGCUAACUACGUGCCAGCAGCCGCCGUAAUACGUAGGGGGCAAGCGUUAUCCGGAUUUACUGGGUUUAAAGGGAGCGUAGACGGGUAUGUAAGUCUGGAGUGAAAGCCCGGGGCCCAACCCCGGGACUGCUUUGGAAACUGUGUAACUGGAGUACAGGAGGGGCAGGCGGAAUUCGUGGUGUAGCGGUGAAAUGCGUAGAUAUCAGGAGGAACUCCGGUGGCGAAGGCGGCAUGCUGGACCGCAACUGACGUUGAGGCUCGAAAGCGUGGGGAGCAAACAGGAUUAGAUACCCUUGUAGUC